rnacentral:rRNA from 1 species
UACGUAGGGGGCAAGCGUUGUCCGGAUUUAUUGGGCGUAAAGAGCUCGUAGGCGGCUUGGCAAGUCGGGUGUGAAAUCUUCAGGCUCAACCUGGAGCGGCCACUCGAGACUGCCAUGGCUAGAGUCCGGUAGGGGACCACGGAAUUCCUGGUGUAGCGGUGAGAUGCGCAGAUAUCAGGAGGAACACCGGUGGCGAAGGCGGUGGUCUGGGCCGGAACUGACGCUGAGGAGCGAAAGCGUGGGUAGCAAACAGG